CUGUCAAUGCCUGCUCCUCACACCAAAAGGGUGACUUUUUCAUCACUAACUUCCUUUAAAUGUUUUGUAGGGAUGCCUGAAUCUCUGGACAGAGAGGUCACCCAGCACAGAAAGCCAGCACCCAUGGCACAGCAGGCAGAGGCUUUGCAGAUUGUUCUGGGCAGCCCUGAGGUGGAUCCCACUUACUGGAACCCCUUGAUUUGGAGACCAGCACUCAAGGUUAACAUGAGCCCUUGAUCUGUUCAAUCCCAGCCUUUGGGAGUUACCAGACUCUGGUAUUGAAUGGAGAAGAAGAUGGAAUAUUAUCCAGGAUUUCCUAAGCAAGUCCAUCUGUAUUUCAGGUGUUUUUGGCUGAGUGGUGAGAAGUGACAGUGAGCACUCUGUGCAUUCAAAGUGGGACAGGAGCAUCCCUUGGUAGCAGAGACUGUUCUGACUGCUUCACAAAACCUGAGGAAAAAGCUGCUGGAAAGAUCUCUGAUCCUCCCCAUGAAGGCAGUUAUAUCAUUUGGACAUCCAAGCUGUUUAGCAUGUUGCAUACAUUCAAUCUCUGAAUUUCAAAAUUUCACCUGUAAAUGUUUGGCAAGGAGGGGCUGUGCACACCUGGAAGCAAAAACACCAGAGCUGCUGGGAGACAAAGGCAAAGAGAGAAAGCAAAAGGCUGAGGUGAUGGUGAAGCAGCAGAGACAGCCCCAUCCUGGCAUGCCAGUAGGCAAGUCAAUAAUUGAAAUAGUAUUUGCUGUCAAAUUUCCAUGUUUUCAUAGUGUCUCUCACAAAAAAACACUGCACAUUAUGAUGCUAUAAAUCCUUAUUAUCUACGUCUUCACAACCAGAAGCUUCCCAUUACCCAAUAGAAGGGUGAAUCCCAUGAGACACAUUAAUGGCAUUAAAAACUCCUCCUGUUAUCUUAAACCUUGAUUAAUCAACCUUAUUUAGUACAUGAUAGUGGGAUAAUUGAAGCUGUCCCUGUAUUUUUUUU